rnacentral:rRNA from 1 species
UACAGAGGUCUCAAGCGUUGUUCGGAAUCACUGGGCGUAAAGGGUGCGUAGGCGGCGGAGUAAGUCGGGUGUGAAAUUUGAAGGCUCAACCUUCAACUAGCACCUGAUACUGCUUUGCUUGAGGUCUGAAGAGGAGCUUGGAAUUCUCGGUGUAGCAGUGAAAUGCGUAGAUUUCGAGAAGAACGCUCGCAGCGAAAGCGAAGCUCUGGUCAGAUUCUGACACUGAGGCACGAAGGCUAGGGGAGCAAACGGG